UAGGCUCCUCCCUCUCCCUCUCUCUCUUUUGUUGACUUCCAGCUGGUAGGACCUGUGGGUCCUUCUUUCUAUUUUUUGGGGCAUUAUGUGUGCCCCAGGGGUGAGUUUUAUAACUUAAGUUGUGGCCACCAUACCCAGAGUGACUAAAGUGUGUCAAAACACUGGUUAGCCCAGUGAUUAAUCCAGAAGAAAGAAGGGCAAUUUAUCCAGAUCCACCAUGAAGAGCAGCUAAGUUGCUUCUAAAAGACGUGAUGCUCUGGUGUGCGUAGACACCGAUGUUGUGUUCCUGGCUCCACUGGAGGAACUCUGGAGACACUUCUAUGCUAUGAAUGCCUCUCACAUGGCUGCUGAACAUGAGGACUUGGCCACAGGCUGGUACAAUCGCUUCGCUAAACAUCCAUACUAUGGCAGACUAGCUUGUUUAUGUGGAUGGCUCAACACUCGAUCACCAGUUUGGCCGAGAAAUUGACGAGACUGUCAAAUUGAACUGCGACGUCAGCAAAGUUUUGGAUGUCGAGGAAGAACAGGAGAGACUGCUGCUCCGUGCCCGUCAGCAGGAACAGAAUUGUCAUUGGCUACUGAGCUACAAUGCCAAAUAGGUUUUCAACACUAAUCCUGCACGAUUGAACCCUUUGAGGACAGCCGACAUGCCUAGUUCCAAACCUGUCACUCACUCAUGGGCAUGGUCAUCUUGGCUAAAUUAACAGAAUCCUUGUGUACAGGACCCCAAUAAAGUAAUAUGCCUCUGAAGCCUUAUCAUUCACACACAAUUCUUGACUUCAAUUCCCAGAGAGGGUUGAAUGAAACAUUGGGCAAGUUUCCAUACA